UGAGGAAUAUUGGGCAAUGGACGCAAGUCUGACCCAGCCAUGCCGCGUGAAGGAUGAAGGCGUUCUGCGUUGUAAACUUCUUUUAUAAGGGAAGAAACCUGCGAUUUUCAUUGCAGCCGACGGUACCUUAUGAAUAAGCACCGGCUAACUCCGUGCCAGCAGCCGCGGUAAUACGGAGGGUGCAAGCGUUAUCCGGAUUUACUGGGUUUAAAGGGUGUGUAGGCGGGCUAUUAAGUCAGUGGUGAAAUGCUCUUGCUUAACGAGAGAACUGCCGUUGAUACUAAUAGUCUUGAAUGUUGUUGAGGUGGGCGGAAUACAUCAUGUAGCGGUGAAAUGCAUAGAUAUGAUGUAGAACACCAAUUGCGAAGGCAGCUCACUAAACAAAGAUUGACGCUGAGGC
rnacentral:rRNA from 1 species